UUACGGUCAAAUCACGCUGAAACACCGGUUCUCGUACGAUCACCGAAGUUAAGCAUCGUAGAGCCAGGUCAGUACUUAGAUGGGGGACCGCUUGGGAACACCUGGUACUAUA
rnacentral:rRNA from 1 species